rnacentral:rRNA from 1 species
UAGGGAAUCUUCCUCAAUGGACGAAAGUCUGACGGAGCAACGCCGCGUGAGUGAAGAAGGAUUUCGGUUCGUAAAACUCUGUUGUUAGGGAAGAAAAAAUGUAUAGUAACUAUAUACAAAAGAGACGGUACCUAACCAGAAAGCCACGGCUAACUACGUGCCAGCAGCCGCGGUAAUACGUAGGUGGCAAGCUUUGUCCGGAAUUAUUGGGCGUAAAGCGCGCGCAGGUGGUUUAGAAAGUCUGAUGUGAAAGCCCACGGCUCAACCGUGGAGGGUCAUUGGAAACUAAUAAACUUGAGUGCAGGAGAGAAAAGUGGAAUUCCUAGUGUAGCGGUGAAAUGCGUAGAGAUUAGGAGGAACACCGGUAGCGAAAGCGGCUUUUUGGCAUGCAACUGACACUGAGGCGCGAAAGCGUGGGGAGCAAACAGG